UACGUAGGGAGCAAGCGUUGUCCGGAAUCAUUGGGCGUAAAGCGCGCGUAGGCGGCCCGAUAAGUCCGCUGUGAAAGUCAACGGCUCAACUGUUGGAUGCCGGUGGAUACUGUCGGGCUAGAGUACGGAAGAGGCAAGUGGAAUUCCUGGUGUAGCGGUGGAAUGCGCAGAUAUCAGGAGGAACACCUAUAGCGAAGGCAGCUUGCUGGGACGUUACUGACGCUGAGGUGCGAAAGCGUGGGGAGCAAACAGG
rnacentral:rRNA from 1 species